GUGUCAGCAGCCGCGGUAAUACGUAGGGGGCGAGCGUUGUCCGGAAUUACUGGGCGUAAAGGGUGCGUAGGCGGUUAAUUAAGUUGGAUGUGAAAUACCCGGGCUUAACCUGGGGGGUGCAUUCAAAACUGGUUAACUAGAGUUCAGGAGAGGGAAGCGGAAUUCCUAGUGUAGCGGUGAAAUGCGUAGAUAUUAGGAGGAACACCAGUGGCGAAGGCGGCUUUCUGGACUGACACUGACGCUGAGGCACGAAAGCGUGGGGAGCAAACAGGAUUAGAUACCCUGGUAGUCCACGCGGUAAACGAUGAAUACUAGGUGUAGGGGGUAUCAACUCCCUCUGUGCCGCAGCUAACGCAAUAAGUAUUCCGCCUGGGGAGUACGGCCGCAAGGUUGAA
rnacentral:rRNA from 1 species